AGUGAACGCUGGCGGUAGGCCUAACACAUGCAAGUCGAACGGCAGCACAGUAAGAGCUUGCUCUUACGGGUGGCGCGUGGCGGACGGGUGAGGAAUACAUCGGAAUCUACUUUUUCGUGGGGGAUAACGUAGGGAAACUUACGCUAAUACCGCAUACGACCUACGGGUGAAAGCAGGGGAUCUUCGGACCUUGCGCGAUUGAAUGAGCCGAUGUCGGAUUAGCUAGUUGGCGGGGUAAAGGCCCACCAAGGCGACGAUCCGUAGCUGGUCUGAGAGGAUGAUCAGCCACACUGGAACUGAGACACGGUCCCGACUCCUACGUGAGGCAGCAGUGUGGAAUAUUGGACAAUGGGCGCAAGCCUGAUCCAGCCAUACCGCGUGUGUGAAGAAGGCCUUCGGGUUGUAAAGCCCUUUUGUUGGGAAAGAAAAGCAGCAGGUUAAUACCCCGCUGUUCUGACGGUACCCAAAGAAUAAGCACCGGCUAACUUCGUG
rnacentral:rRNA from 1 species